CUGAAACUCUCAGCCUUGAGUUUAGCGUGUUCGAAGUUGUCAUUUUCUGUGAAUCUACUGCUACGCGAUGCUCCCCACAGUUCCAUUCCUCUCCAAUUUUCUCUUCAUCGUCAUCCUUGUGGUCUCUCUGUCUCUCCCUUGCAGGUCUGAUGGGUCUGCAGAGAAGGAAAAAAGUUUAGCAAUAAUAAAGCCAGAUGGAUUGUAUGAUAACUGCACUGAUGAAAGGGCUCGUUUGGUCUGACAAUAUUGCCCCUCCACGUGAGGGGCACAUGAUUGCUCUGUUAAAGAAAUUAACAGAAAUUUUAUAUUGUCCUUGAAUUGCUCCAAAUAUAAAACUACAGGGUCAAAAGUGACGCAAUUGAAAUUACAGGGUCAAAAGUGGUUGAAGUGCCAAACUACAAGGACCAAAAGUGACUUUUGGCCUAAAAUACCUGAAUUUGUUGCUGUCUGUCCUGUUUGCCUUUGAAAAUGAAAAAAAUGAAAAAUAAAAAAUCAAUUUCAUCUCUGUAAUAGUUUUAGAUCCUUUUUAUGUACUUUUAGU